rnacentral:rRNA from 1 species
ANCGCGNCNUAUCAUGCAGUCGAGCGGACAGAAGGGAGCUUGCUCCCGGAUGUUAGCGGCGGACGGGUGAUUAACACGUGGGUAACCUGCCUGUAAGACUGGGAUAACUCCGGGAAACCGGAGCUAAUACCGGAUAGUUCCUUGAACCGCAUGGUUCAAGGAUGAAAGACGGUUUCGGCUGUCACUUACAGAUGGACCCGCGGCGCAUUAGCUAGUUGGUGGGGUAAUGGCUCACCAAGGCGACGAUGCGUAGCCGACCUGAGAGGGUGAUCGGCCACACUGGGACUGAGACACGGCCCAGACUCCUACGGGAGGCAGCAGA